AAUAUCCAGCCAGGCAACACCAGACUUGGGUGGAAAAAGGGAUCACCGAAGCAACAUCCUUGUGAGGUCCCUCUUGAGACACAAACUAAUAGCAAACACUGCUCAGAAAACACUGAUUUUAAGGGUAAAUUUCUUUCACAUUUAAAUGAUAGCACAGUCCAUCAUUAGGGUGACAGUUUUUGGUUAUAAAUCCAAUAAUAUGUACUUUAGCCUGAAUGACUUAUCUUUGAACUCUGGUGUUUAUAAUUCAAGACCCAUUUUUCCACCUGGUCCCUGCCCCUGCCUCUCUGUGCAACAAAAAACAUGAGUCAAAAUAGUGCUGUUUUUCUAGUUCAAACGGGCAGAGAUCUGAGUUCAUCGCUCCUGUUUUCUCUGAGUACACAAGGGAAGAUAUCGACCCGGGCUCCCCUCGGGACAUUACUGAUGGAUGUUUCAGAAACGUGGUGGCUUCGCCAGGUUCCCAGUGGGAUUCUGGGGCCUGGAUGACCCAGACCUGUUGGCUUCACCAGGUGGAGUCACUCUGCUUGGGUAUGACCCAAGCCUGGGCCGUCAAACCUCUGGAUUCCAGCUCUCUGGAGGCACCUUUGCCUCCCCUCACACCCCCGCUGCUGGGCUUCACACCAUGUGUGGUCACCCGAUGAGCUUCCAUCUGCCCUCUGUCUGUGCAUCCCAUGAGGGCGGGGGCAAGUCUGCAUUUCUCAUAAAACAGCCCUGUUUCUGGAACAUUCUAGGUACUCAAUAAACACUCAGUGAAUGAGUGAAACACAACUUCCUCAAGGAGAAGAUCCUGGCCAUGCUGGAGAGGAAGAAAACACAGUUCAUCCACAGCAUGGACGAAGAUGAGAAUGAGUCACCGGCCUGGGAGCAUUUCCCAUGAGCCCUCGCUACAACAACCGUAUCCCAUCCCUGGCUAACCCCAGCCAAGGAGAAAUAAAGUAACCGUGUGUGUG